AACUCUGUAGCUCAGAGGAUAGAGCGCAAGGCUCAUAUUUCAAUACGAAAUCUGAUACCUUGAGGUCGCUGGAUCGAAACUAGCCAGAGUUA
rfam:Cryptococcus pinus CBS 10737 unplaced genomic scaffold supercont1.5, whole genome shotgun sequence.